AUUGAACGCUGGCGGCAGGCCUAACACAUGCAAGUCGAGCGGUAGAGAGAAGCUUGCUUCUCUUGAGAGCGGCGGACGGGUGAGUAAUGCCUAGGAAUCUGCCUGAUAGUGGGGGAUAACGUCCGGAAACGGACGCUAAUACCGCAUACGUCCUACGGGAGAAAGUGGGGGCUCUUCGGACCUCACGCUAUCAGAUGCGCCUAGGUCGGAUUAGCUAGUUGGUGGGGUAAAGGCUCACCAAGGCGACGAUCCGUAACUGGUCUGAGAGGAUGAUCAGUCACACUGGAACUGAGACACGGUCCAGACUCCUACGGGAGGCAGCAGUGGGGAAUAUUGGACAAUGGGCGAAAGCCUGAUCCAGCCAUGCCGCGUGUGUGAAGGAGGUCUUCGGAUUGUAAAGCACUUUAAGUUGGGAGGAAGGGUCGUUACCUAAUACGUGGCGAUUUUGACGUUACCGACAGAAUAAGCACCGGCUAACUCUGUGCCAGCCGCCGCGGUAAAAC
rnacentral:rRNA from 1 species